AAAGUUACUACAGAAUACAUAAUGUAAAAUUGUACACAAUAGCUGCUCGACUAAACGAAAAACGACGAAAGUCCUCACCAUUUGAGUUUGCCACAUAGAGAUUAGUUCUCGAGGAUCUCGAUAUGAUCCUGCACAGACUCACUACUCAGCUAAUCAUUGGCCGUCAAAGCUGCCUAUGCUUUGUUCUCCUGAUCACCAUUACAAGAGUUGAGAGAUUUUUGGGACAACAAGUUAAAGUAUGCCCGAACGGUGGAGAUGAUGGAUGACUAGAAUGCAAAAUCACUUGUUCCUCUCCUGGUGUAAUUGAAUACAUGAAGCAGAACCAGUGCUCUUGGCUCUUUGUGGACAGUGACUCCGAACACCCCUUGUGAGGAAGACGAUGAACAAUACAAGGAUGUGACAUGUUUCUAAAAAAA